UUUGGGGGCGAAAUAGGAUCGACGGACGUGUAAAGACGAGGCCUUCACCCGCUUGAGCUGCGUUAGAAGCUCAAUCAACAAUAGUUGCUAAUGACAACUUUGCUGAAGGUGAACUGCUCGCUGCUUAACGCAGUGCGUGGAAUACCGCUUUAACUCCUAGGGCAUCAGCGCCUUAGGCGGGGCCCGGAGGCGCCUGGC
rnacentral:sRNA from 1 species